rnacentral:rRNA from 1 species
CCUACGGGUGGCUGCAGUGGGGAAUAUUGCACAAUGGGCGCAAGCCUGAUGCAGCCAUGCCGCGUGUGUGAAGAAGGCCUUCGGGUUGUAAAGCACUUUCAGCGGGGAGGAAGGCGGUGAGGUUAAUAACCUCAUCGAUUGACGUUACCCGCAGAAGAAGCACCGGCUAACUCCGUGCCAGCAGCCGCGGUAAUACGGAGGGUGCAAGCGUUAAUCGGAAUUACUGGGCGUAAAGCGCACACAGGCGGUCUGUCAAGUCGGAUGUGAAAUCCCCGGGCUCAACCUGGGAACUGCAUUCGAAACUGGCAGGCUAGAGUCCUGUAGAGGGGGGUAGAAUUCCAGGUGUAGCGGUGAAAUGCGUAGAGAUCUGGAGGAAUACCGGUGGCGAAGGCGGCCCCCUGGACAAAGACUGACGCUCAGGUGCGAAAGCGUGGGGAGCAAACAGGAUUAGAUACCCCGGUAGUC